AUAUCCCUGUCUGUUGAGUUGAUCUCUUACAAUGAAGACGUUUUCUAGCCCGUCCAUUUCAACAGAACACGGUUAGAGAGUGUUUGCACUGCAGGUUCAUCAGCAGGGCUGGUGAGGGUGGUCCUGGCAAGCGAGAGUGGUGCCAGGCAGGGAUGAGAACCAGCCCAAGCCUCCUCAGCCCUUGGGUAUGCUGGAGGUCUUGCUUUGGCUGGCUUGUGCUGGCUUGCUCGGGUUUAUGAGUCCCAGGUGCAAGGUGAAGCUUCAGAUAUUUUCAGGCCACCAUAAAAUGUGGUGGAGCCACCCUAAAAUGUGCCAUGCUCUGCAUUCAGUAUCUGCCUCCAAAUCAGACUGGAGAACCAACAUUUGGGGACAGGGUUUAGGAGUGAUUAUGGUGGUGCUGGGUUGACAGUCGUUCAAAUGAUCCUGAGUGUCUCUCCAACCUUGAUGAUGCUGUGUUUCUCUGACUAUGUGGUUAUCUAGGAAAAGCAAGCCAAGGCUUUGUGUUGCCUUUGCAGACAUCAUCUCACAGCAGUUGUAUUUUCCUCUAGGUCUCUUGUGAUCUUUGCACAGCUCCAAAGUCUCCAUCCUCAUUGUGUCUGCACUCACCAAAGCAAUUUUUGAGGGCCUUCACUGUGUGGCCAAAUGGCUCAUUUUUAUUGUUUAAACUAAUGGAUUUUGUGGGCAGUAGGCAAGCUGCUGUUCAAGUGCCUCCAGGCAGCGUGCAUGAAAACAGCCUAAUGACACAUAAGAACAGCAGGACAACACCGAACCCAAGACCUAGGAGGACCUGAAGCAACACGAGAAAGAACAUUAAAAUCCACCAACUUUAGCUGCUGUGAGGAGGGGACCAACACCAGAAAUUCAACAGAUUUCCCACAUGCUUUGCUCUGGGCUGCUGCGUGAACUCCUCUUCCCCUUCCCUGAGACAAAAGCGACCAGGUGCCAUUUUGUUCUCCAGGCCACGUGGUCAGUCCGAGCAAUUUUCUUCCCUGGGCAUUUUUUGGGAUUUUUUUGUUCUGAUGUGGGGAUAUGUGGGUGGGUUGGUGGGUGGAGAGUAAGUUCUGGGAGUUCAUAUCUAGCAUUUAUUCAGUCCUUUUCUGUGCAUUGUGGGCACAUGCCCCUCGCACCCCCUCCCCCCUUUUUUUUUUGUCAAUAAACUUCUUUGCUUUUUUUUUUUUUCACUUUCAUCCACUGGUAUCAAUUUCUCUCAUUGGUAGAAGAAAAGGGAGGGAGUUAUUGAAGCUCUUUUCACUUUUGAGGAAAUGCUCAUUUCUCCAGAAAUUUGUCUCCAAAACCAAGACAUUUGGUGUUUUAAAAUGCUGCUAAUUAAUAAAUAAAUGAAAGAGAGACAGAGGAAGAAAACUAGCUGGAGCAGGGCAACACACCUCAGCAGGGGCUGACCAGCACCUGCAGGAAGCAGAUACUUGAAAUAGCUGUGACAUUGCUGCUGUUCCAAAACAGGUUGUAGUAAUUAUGGUUAUUUUGAGUCCUGCACCACGUCCAUCUAACUGUAUUUAACACUACUUUAGGCUGUAGCUCUGGGGUGUGUUUCAAGCACAGGAUCUUUUUCCAUUUAAUUAGGAUGAGAGGGCUUGGAAGAAACAGGCAAAAUCCUAUUUACCCCAUAUGUUGUUCCUCUAAGAGGGGUUUAUGAAGAAAGGUCUGCAUCCCUCCAGCUACUGCACAGAGACGAGAGCAAAGUCAAGCUAUGGCCAGCAGCAGUCCCUGCCUGGAAGGCAACUGAGCUCUGGAGUCUUAAUUUGACUUUUAGAGUCCCUUGAGAAGGAAAAAACCCCAAACCUGUGAUAAAUAUACUACAGUGCUGGCUUUCACAAUUGUUAGAGUGAGUACUAUGUGUUUUAUAAUGCUGACUUUUCUAAGAGAAGUUUGACUAAAGUUUAGAGUUUUUUAAUGUGAAUGUUACAUUAUAAUACCAAUGUUGGUGAAGAGUUGUUGAAACGUUAACAUUUAACCAAUGAAGGACUCAAAACCUGUUGAAUGAAUGGAAAAGUAACAAAUGACCACGGCUAAGGCCACUGCACACGCUCCAAAACGGCAGGACAGAGGAGGAACCAUGUUAAAGUGUUUGAAUAUAAAUGACCAUUUAGGAAUAUGCAGUUGGCUGAUGCAGUGCCCAGAGUGUAUAAGGGGUGCUGCUGUGUUCAGCACUGUGCCUCUGGCUGCGGCUAAGCACUCAGCACUGUUCUCUUUCCUUUAUUGACUUUGUCCCCUGUUGUCCCUUAUUAAAUUUUCUUUCAAUUUUAACACAGUGGGUUUCGUUUCUCACUACUGGAGGUUUGUCCAGGAUGGACACCCUGUCUGUGUGGCCCUGGGAGAUUUUGAGCUAGAGGCAUGCCCUGCCAGUUUCGGUGGCUCCAUCGGCUUCUUCUGGCAUCAUUGGUGUCCUAGGGUGACGUUAUGAUGCUUGUAUCCCCAGUCAUCUAUUCUGUUUAUGCUGGAUAUUAUGUUCUGUGCCUUCAAGACUGCCUCUGAAGAGCGAAUUAUUUGUUUUGUUUUGUUUUGUUAUCAGCCUCUCCCCCAUGGCUGACAGGACACAGAGCCGGGGCAGUACAUAGUGCGGCUUUUGCUUUUUGCUUGGCUUUUCACUUUGCUCCUGCUUCUGCUUUGCUCCUGCUUUGUUCUUGCUUUUUGCUUCUGCUCAUUAGUUAGUUUAGCUAUGCUGUCCAAAUUUUUCCCUGGACUGUUUUAUUUUUUUCUUUCCCUUUUUUGGACCUACUCGAGCCUGCUCCGGACUGGGACCUGGGAACACCGAGAGUUUGCACCCAGUGGCUGCAGCAGCUGCCCCAGUGCCGGAGGGACUGAUAACAGAGCAACCAUUCCCAGAGAGACUUUCUGAAUCUGUCAUCUUUUUCACAGUGGUGAACGAGUGCUGUCAUCUGGUAUUGUUGAUUUUGUGAGCUGGGGGGUGCUGUGCCUGUUAAAUAAACAGGUUCUUUCCACUUCUCUCCGAGGAAUUCUUCCCAAACUGGUUGUGGGGAGGGGCCGUGUGAGUUUGCUUUCUGGAGGGGCCCCUUUAGGAGGUUUUCUCCCAAAUUUGCCCUAAACCAGAAUAGCCAGCCACAUAGGACAAGAUGGAAGUUGGGGACACUGAACCCCAAUUUAUAUGCUAAAUUGUAUUAUAAGACUCCAAGCAGGUGUAGAAAUAAUAACUAACAAACCUGCCUUAGCCCUGGAAUUAAUAUCAAACCAACAAAGGCAAACAAGAGAUGCAGUGUAUCAGAAUAGGCUGGCUUUAGACUACUUAUUAGCAGAAGAAGGGGGUGUCUGUAGAAAAUUUAAUACAUCUGACUGCUGCUUGAAAAUAGAUGAUAAAGGGGAUAUCAGAAAAAUAGCCCAUGUCCCAGUACAGAAAUGGGAAUUGAUACUAAAAGCCAGUCGGUGGGAAAAUUUUUUGGCAAUGGAAUGGUGGAAAAAGCUAAGCCUCUCUCUCUUAUGUGCAGCAGCUGGUUUAUUAUUUUUCCUUGUCUGAUUCCCUGUUAUAUUUGGCUAAUCACCAGUGUAAUCCAGGGUAUGCCAGUAGUGGCAAUGCCAAUGGACCUGAAAUUUGCUAUUUCUGGAAUGGCAUAAAAUAUAAUGGUAUUAAAGAUAAAAGACAAAACAAAGGAUCCCUUCAAAGAAGCUGAAUUGAUUUAUGAAAAAUGUGAGUGUAUCACCAACAUUAAAAAUAGGAAUUAUUGCUCAAGCCAAAUGACUUAUGAAAAGGAAGAGGAGAAAUUGUGAUAAAUAUACUACAGUAUUGGCUUUCACAAUUGUUAGAGUGAGUACUAUGUGUUUUAUAAUGCUGACUUUUCUAAGAGAAGUUUUGCUAAAAUUUAGAGUUCUUUUAAUGUGAAUGUUGUAUUGUAAUACCAAUGUUGGUGAAGAGUUGUUGUAAUGUUAACAUUUAACCAAUGAAGGACUCAAAACCUGUUGAAUGAAUGGAAAAGUAACAAAUGACCACGGCUAAGGCCACUGCACACGCUCCAAAACAGCAGGACAGAGGAGGAACCAUGUUAAAGUGUUUGAAUAUAUAUGACCAUUUAGGAAUAUGCAGUUGGCUGAUGCAGUGCCCAGGGUGUAUAGGGGGUGUUGCUGUGUUCAGCAGUGUGCCUCUGGCUGCGGCUAAGCACCCAGCACUGUUCUCUUUCCUUUAUUGACUUUGUCCCCUGUUGUCCCUUAUUAAAUUUUCUUUCAAUUUUAA